GAUGAACGCUGGCGGCGUGCCUAAUACAUGCAAGUCGAGCGAACAGACGAGGAGCUUGCUCCUCUGACGUUAGCGGCGGACGGGUGAGUAACACGUGGAUAACCUACCUAUAAGACUGGGAUAACUUCGGGAAACCGGAGCUAAUACCGGAUAAUAUAUUGAACCGCAGGGUUCAAUAGUGAAAGACGGUUUUGCUGUCACUUAUAGAUGGAUCCGCGCCGCAUUAGCUAGUUGGUAAGGUAACGGCCUACCAAGGCAACGAUGCGUAGCCGGCCUGAGAGGGUGAUCGGCCACACUGGAACUGAGACACGGUCCAGACUCCUACGGGAGGCAGCAGUAGGGAAUCUUCCGCAAUGGGCGAAAGCUUGACGGAGCAACGCCGCGUGAGUGAUGAAGGUCUUCGGAUCGUAAAACUCUGUUAUUAGGGAAGAACAAAUGUGUAAGUAACUAUGCACGUCUUGACGGUACCUAAUCAGAAAGCCACGGCUAACUACGUG
rnacentral:rRNA from 1 species